rnacentral:rRNA from 1 species
GAAGGUGGCCUGUGAGGGUUGCUGGAGGUAUCAGAAGUGCGAAUGCUGACAUAAGUAACGAUAAAGCGGGUGAAAAGCCCGCUCGCCGGAAGACCAAGGGUUCCUGUCCAACGUUAAUCGGGGCAGGGUGAGUCGACCCCUAAGGCGAGGCCGAAAGGCGUAGUCGAUGGGAAACGGGUUAAUAUUCCCGUACUUGGUGUUACUGCGAAGGGGGGACGGAGAAGGCUAUGUUGGCCGGGCGACGGUUGUCCCGGUUUAAGCGUGUAGGCUGGUUUUCCAGGCAAAUCCGGAAAAUCAAGGCUGAGGCGUGACGACGAGGCACUACGGUGCUGAAGCAACAAAUGCCCUGCUUCCAGGAAAAGCCUCUAAGCAUCAGGUAACAUCAAAUCGUACCCCAAACCGACACAGGUGGUCAGGUAGAGAAUACCAAGGCGCUUGAGAGAACUCGGGUGAAGGAACUAGGCAAAAUGGUGCCGUAACUUCGGGAGAAGGCACGCUGACACGUAGGUGAAGUGAUUUACUCACGGAGCUGAAGUCAGUCGAAGAUACCAGCUGGCUGCAACUGUUUAUUAAAAACACAGCACUGUGCAAACACGAAAGUGGACGUAUACGGUGUGACGCCUGCCCGGUGCCGGAAGGUUAAUUGAUGGGGUCAGCGCAAGCGAAGCUCCUGAUCGAAGCCCCGGUAAACGGCGGCCGUAACUAUAACGGUCCUAAGGUAGCGAAAUUCCUUGUCGGGUAAGUUCCGACCUGCACGAAUGGCGUAAUGAUGGCCAGGCUGUCUCCACCCGAGACUCAGUGAAAUUGAACUCGCUGUGAAGAUGCAGUGUACCCGCGGCAAGACGGAAAGACCCCGUGAACCUUUACUAUAGCUUGACACUGAACAUUGAGCCUUGAUGUGUAGGAUAGGUGGGAGGCUUUGAAGCGUGGACGCCAGUCUGCGUGGAGCCGACCUUGAAAUACCACCCUUUAAUGUUUGAUGUUCUAACGUGGACCCGUGAUCCGGGUUGCGGACAGUGUCUGGUGGGUAGUUUGACUGGGGCGGUCUCCUCCUAAAGAGUAACGGAGGAGCACGAAGGUUGGCUAAUCCUGGUCGGAC